CUCUCUCUGAAACCCUAUGCGGAAACCAUUCAGCAGAUACAAGUCGAUGGCCUUCUUCAUGUUGAAGGAGCCCGAUGCAGAAACCAGAUCGGAGCAAAGUUUUGGGAGGUUGUGUGUGCGGAACACGGCAUCGAUGUCACCGGAAAGUACAGCGGCGACUCUGAACUGGAGGUGGAGAGCCACCAUCACUGAUGGUGUUCGUCGGUCCAAGUGUGCCUGUGCCUUUCAUAAUAUAAAUUGGGUUUUGUUGUUGUCUAAAUUAAAUGGAACUAGAGCAAUCAACAAGAAAAACGUCAACACCCAAGAUCCAUCGCAGCUGCCGAUGCAACCGGCGUUACCGGUGUUUCUCACUGGUCAUUGGUCGGAUAUUUGCUUCCCCCGAUCAACAAUCAUCGUGUCGUUCUCUACCUUGCCGAUUGUGAUAUAGACUUAGCGGUGACAGCUGUGGAGAUGGAGGUUAUGCACAUGACACAUUUAUAGGUGAAGAUUAGUACAAAAUCCGGUGACAAUGUAAGAAAGACGACGGGGAACAAAGAUAUGUGCGGUGACCUACGAUGGUGGCGUGAGUGGCGUAGAGGAGGCUGGAUUUUCAAAGAUGUGCACGGUGGUCGGUGGCUUCAGUCUUCAGAGAUAGUGGUUUAAUGAGAGUGUUUGUUGGUGGCGGCAGUGGUGAAGGAAAGAGAGACGAGACUUUAGGGCUUUGUUUUUUUUCUGAAAACAGUAACUCAAAAGGUUUUACAGUGGGCUGGCCCUUUUUGUUGAAUGCUUUUGCUUUAUAUGAUCAACCAUUAAAUAGCCAAAUAAAAUUAAGUAUUCCUAGACAACCGUAAUUUUUCUACUUCAAACAACUUAUAUUUUGCUUGAAUAUGUUUACUACAAAAAAAGGUGUUUAAGUCGCGCUAAGUGUGUUAACAAUUUGCGUCUCAUGAACUUCUUCACAGUUAAUUAGUCUCAUGAGCCACAUUAGCGCCUUCAGGUUUGGAUUGAGUAUCAUGUUCUGAUAUAUAUACUUAAUUUUUAAUCCCCAAAUGGUUCGAAAUGUAUGUAACAUGUUUCUUUAAUUGACCCAGGGAACUUACAUGAGAACAUAGGUGCUUAGAGCUUGGUUUAAGAUGAUGAUAAUGAUGAUGAUGAUGUUGUUGUUUAGAUAUUGUGUAAGAGAUGUUGUUAACAAGCUGAAAGAAUACAAGUAGUUCAGAUGUAGGCAUAACCUUGCUAAAAAGAAGAGAUGCUGGAGUCAGUGGCGGAGCUUGAAUUUUUAAAUAGGGGCCCGAAAUUAAAAAAUAGGGGGCCAGACUCAAUACAUAUAAAACUUUGUAAAAUUUUUACCACGAAGCGAAAAAAUAUGGCUGGAGACUGGAGUUUAGUUUAUUGCAGUGAGGUAGAUUUGCUAGGGAUUGUUCAGAUAACGUCAGGAUCAUGGAUCUACCCAACCCAAGCCGCCAAGCCUAUUCCACACUCAGCAAGUCCACUUUUUUUAAGAUUAAUUUGGUUGUCCUUUAAUCUGUUUCUUGUAGUGUUUUAGGCUCAUAAGUUGUCUGUAACUUUGUAAUUUUGUUCCAUUUCUUCACUAAUGCAUGUUUGGGCUGUUUUGUAGUUGUGGCUGGCCCUGAUUUUUAGCAUGAGCAUUGUCACACUGAAAAGAAAAAGAGAUUGAAUGAGGCUUUGGUAUGUUUCAUUCGCAUUUACAAAUGCCGUCUCUAAGUUAUCUUCUUUGGUAUAUCUUUUUUGGGGUAUUUAAUUGGGGUCUUUGUGUUUGGCUUUCGGUUCAUGACGGAAUU